rnacentral:SRP_RNA from 1 species
GCCGGGCAUGGUGGCUCAUGCCUGUAAUCCUAGCACUUUGGGAGGCCGAGGCGGGUGGAUCACCUGAGGUCAGGAGUUUGAGACUGGCCUGGCCAACAUGGUGAAACCCCGUCUCUA